CCUACGGGUGGCAGCAGUGGGGAAUAUUGGGCAAUGGAGGAAACUCUGACCCAGCAACGCCGCGUGAAUGAUGAAGGUCUUCGGAUUGUAAAGUUCUUUUCUAAGGGAAGAAGAAAGUGACGGUACCUUAGGAAUAAGCCUCGGCUAACUACGUGCCAGCCGCCGCGGUAAUACGUAGGAGGCAAGCGUUAGCCGGAUUGACUGGGCGUAAAGGGGGAGUAGGUGGUUUGACAAGUUGGUAGCGAAAGUCCGGGGCUCAACCUCGGCACUACUACCGACACUGUCGGACUUGAGUGCAGGAGGGGCGAAUGGAAUUCCUGGUGUAGCGGUGGAAUGCGUAGAUAUUAGGAGGAACACCAGUGGCGAAGGCGAUUUGCUGGACUGUAACUGACACUGAGGUACGAAAGCGUGGGGAGCAAACAGGAUUAGAUACCCUAGUAGUC
rnacentral:rRNA from 1 species